CUUUGGCCUAGAGCAUAACGCAUCAGACUUGGGACCUAACGGCCCGGGUUCGAUUCCUC
rnacentral:tRNA from 12 species